rnacentral:rRNA from 1 species
AUUGAACGCUGGCGGCAUGCCUAACACAUGCAAGUCGAACGAGUGGCGGACGGGUGAGUAAUGUCUGGGAAACUGCCCGCUGGGGGUGGAUAACUGCUGGAGACGGUAGCUAAUACCGCGUACCAACGGACGUGCCCAGAUGGGGUUAGCUUGUAGGUGGGGUAACGGCCCACCUCGGCGACGAUCCCUAGCUGGUCUGAGAGGCUGACCAGCCACACUGGGACUGAGACACGGUCCAGACUCCUACGGGAGGCAGCAGUGGGGAAUAUUGGACAAUGGGGGAAAGCCUGAUGCAGCCAUGCCGCGUGUGUGAAGAAGGCCUUCGGGUUGUAAAGUACUUUCAGCGGGGAGGCGUUACCCGCAGAAGAAGCACCGGCUAACUCCGUGCCAGCAGCCGCGGUAAUUC